AUUCCAAAUAAAGUUGCAAAGUUCGCAAUAUUAUGACUGCUACAGCUUAUGUUGUCCCAAGAAUGAAACAUCAUGUUUCACUUCAUUCAAAUUCUAUUUCCUUCAAAACAAAGUCUGAUGGAAGAUUUCUACAACUCAGAAUUCGAAACCAUCAGUCAAAUAAUUAAGUGGAAUGAAGAAAUUGAUAAUCUAAUUUUGAGCCUUUCGUUUUGGGCAAUAUACACCCACUGUUUCUACCAGCCCACACAAAUGAUUUACUUUAGCGACUCGUUCCAAUCAGUAAGAUUUAAUUCUUGACGGAAAAGUGUUUCAGUUAUCAAACGACCAUGUUCGUCAGAUUCAUUCAAACUGGUUUGACUGAUAUUUUGGCAUUUUUAUCAGGAUAAGCGUGGAGUCGGUCGCAGAGACUGGCGGUGAACUUUUUAUUUGGCCAGCGUCGGCCCAGGACGCCGUCUAAACGGAAAGCACAGAAAAGUCGGUUCCACGCUUAACGUGAUAAUGAACGAUACUUAUGUUAGAUGUCAUUAUUAUUUUACCAAUUUAGACAAAUCCCCUUUAGUUUGGGCAAAUGCUUGUUAUUGGUCGUGGUUUGAGUAAAAUAUAACAUAUCUAAUUUUAUCUUAUUCUCCAACACUAUUUACGUAUUCAUACGUAUGCAUAUGCUUGUGGCGGAUUUUCAUUUUUGUUGGAGAUAUUUUUUCAACCAAAUCGUUGAAAUGAGACUUUGCAGCUAAUAAGUACUAUUGAUCUUUCAGUAACAGAAAUAUAAAGAGAAUAGAAUAAGAAUUGGGAGCAACUGGAUUGAUAUUAAGAUAUAGCUUAUAUUUACGCAUUCGCUUUGUGAUACAGAAUAUGGCUGAAAAUAUUAGUUUGUAAUAAUUUCAUAACAAUAUAGAUCUCAACACUGAUGAGGUCUAACAUGAUUUCUACCCAGGACAUAUUGAACUAAUAAUAAACGUUACAUACAUA